rnacentral:rRNA from 1 species
UACGGAAGGGGCAAUCGUUGUUCGGAAUCAUUGGGCGUAAAGGGCGCGUAGGUGGUUCUGUAUGUCUACCGUGAAAGCGUACGGCUCAACCGUAUUUUGUCGGUGGAAACUGCAGGACUUGAGGCUGGGAGGGGCUGGUGGAAUUCCCUGUGUAGCGGUGAAAUGCGUAGAGAUGGGGGAGAACACUCGUGGCGAAGGCGGCCAGCUAGACCAGUUCUGACACUGAGGCGCGACAGCGUGGGGAGCAAACAGG